rnacentral:rRNA from 1 species
AUGAGGAGGAGCAAGGUGGGAAAUGAUGACGGGGAACUACAAGAUCUCCUGGCCAUGCGAUCCGAGGUCUUUGAGAACCAGAAGGAAACACAGUCUGUCAGAUCGGACAUAACAACACUGCAUGCAGAGGAAGUGGCAGCAAGCUAUACUUCAGAGACAACCUUCAGACCAAUAUUGGAGAAACUGUUACUGAGGGAUUCCAACCUUUCCUCCGAAAUUCGCCAGCAAUGCGAGUGCAACGACCAUUGGACGCCCAAAGAGGGUUGGCCGCUAGACGGCGCGUCACCACCCAGGGAGGCUCCAUCAUUCACGUCGGUACGCUUCGGUCUCCGUGCGGAUGAGGACAUGGUCGAUGAAGAUGAUCUGGAACCUUUGCCCCCUACCUAG